rnacentral:rRNA from 1 species
UUAAGAUGAGGUCUCUCACAGCGCAAGCUGGUAAGACCCCUUGUAGACGACAAGGUAGAUAGGCCAGGUGUGUAAGUCCAGUAAUGGACUCAGCUGACUGGUACUAAUAGGUCGAGGGCUUGACUUA